UCGAGACAUGUCCCUUUCCGCUGUCAUUGACCAGCUUCGACAGGCCAAAAUCUGUAACCUUCGCCGUUAAAUGUUCAUCUAAUAGAAUAUUGGUGGACUUCACAUCUCUGUGAAUUAUAGGAGGAUUUGCAAGCUCAUGUAGGUAAGCCAGUCCUCUUGCUGAGCCAAGAGUGAUUUGGAGUCUCCUCUUCCAAUUGAGAUGAAUACCAGAUCUCCCUGCAACUCGUAUUAGAACAAAUCUUAUCAUUACAUGUUAAAUCAAUGGUACUAAAUGAAGCACAUAAAACUAAAAAUAUGAAAUAGCGAAAAGUAAAAUCUAAAACUGACCUGACAAGCUUUCCCUAAGUGUUCCAUUAGGCAUAUACUCGUAAACCAGCAUCUGCUCUCCUUGUUCGAAACAGAAUCCCAAAAGACCAACAACAUUUUUGUGAUGAACGCGAGAGAGCAACUCAAUUUCAGUCGUGAACUCGACGCCUCCCUGCAUUGAUCCUUGCCGAGCUCUUUUGAUUGCUAUCACUUGUCCAUCAGAAAGCAUGCCCCUGUAAACCUAUGGAUAGCCAACCGAAAAGUACAGAAAAAAAAAUAUUUUAGCUUCAAGCACAAUUUCAUAGAUGUUACUGAAUGAGUUGUAUAUAUACCUUCCCGUAGCCGCCAGAUCCUAUCUCAUUACUGUCAGAGAAAUUAUUGGUGCACUUCUUAAGCUCAUCAUACGAAAACCAUCUUGCUCCCUUUAACUGUGGUGCACCGCCACUAUCAUUUCCGCUUGGCACCCAAGAAGCUGGAAGAUAGAGGAGAGUAGUGAAUAUAAGCUGAACAGUAUCUAGUAUUAGUGACAGAAUUUCAGUCUAGAAAUUAUCCACAACAGGAAUGAUUUCUUACCGAAAGGUCUGCUUAAACCAAUGGCUCUUUCCGCACGUUUCCUUUGCCUAAUGGCGUAAAUUCCUACUACCACGAGGCCCACAACAAGAACGAGACAACUAACUGAUAUCCCAACAAUAACACCAGUGCUCAUAAAGCUUUUAUGUGUGUCUGAAACAAUUCGGGUUUUUUACUGUCAUUUUAAUUGAUCUUCUAAUGCAGGGAAGGUGUAUAUGAACACUGUGAUUUAAAAUUACCUGGGAAAUUAUAUUGAGCUGGAAUAAAAACGAAGGGUCCAAACCCGUCUGGCGGCAUGUAAGGCUGACUGCUCAUAUCAAAACCAAUCCUGAUAAUCUCAGACCUAUUAAAAUAUGUUCCUGUAGGUGGAAAGAGAGCCACAUGUACUUUAAGAUGGUCAUCGUUGUCGAAGAAAGGGUUAUCAAGUGACACUGAACCGGGAGUGAGGUGAAGUUUCACCCAUUGUUCUAGGGAUUGAAACAGAGUCACAUUUGUCAAUUCCCUGAAAGUGGGCGCUCGGAAAUCCAGUGUUCCUUCAAAAGGAUAUCCACAUUGACAACUCUGAGGGCUUGGCUGCUGACCCCCGGGGCAUGUAAUGGAUGGACAAUCCGUGCUAGUAGCAUACGGUUUUGUAUUUGAUUGUGGAGGCUGACAGUACGGACUCGAGCUAGGUUCAUUGCACAAUGGGUUCCCAACAAGUCUGCAAUAUGAAAAAGUCACAACUAAGAAUGAUUGUCCCAUGAAAAUACAGAACAUCAUAGAAAAUUAAGAUCGAGGCCCGUGAACCAUCUUACAUUAAUGUAUUUUUGUACUUAUAACUCUGGGUUAUUCUCUGAAUCUGAUUGUUCUGCAGAUCAACAAGCGUCAGUUGCCGACUGAUGUAAUCACCCAUGUUAAAUGUGUCGUUAAACGCGUUGUUUUUCAGUUUCCUGUCGAAUCACAGAAAAGAUGAAUGGCCAGUUAACUGAAAUUGCAGCACGUAGAUGAAUUAUUCCGUUAUUCUCCUUGUACUUACACUUGCUGCAAUGACGGUAUGCUGAACAUCUUCUCUGGCACAGUCCCUUGAAGAGCCACAUCUUCUAAAACGCUGGCAUCAUAACAGUAAAUAAUUUCAAAAUGAUAUCACAAUAAAUUUUUCACUGUCCUUUUCCAAGGCUCAUCAAUAUAUACCAAGACAUUUUCAUGUAACCUCCACCAGACUUACAUAGUGGUGAGCGAUGGCAAGGUUGAGAUCCAACCCGGAGCUUCUGAUGGAUCAAAUGAGUUGUAACUAAGGUCUCUGAAGUAAAAUCAUUAGGAUUUAUCAGUACAACACAAGAACAACCCGGAAAACUGAAACUGCAAAUGACAGCUCCAUGCCAUGUACUCACACAUAAUUGAGGGCAUUCAAUCCAGUUAGGUCGGGUAAAGGGCCGUCCAAAUUGUUGUGCGCGAUAUUUCUGGAAGAGAAUAUAAAAACCGUGUAAAAGCUGAUUAACCAUCACUAAGAUUACGGUAAAAGCACACCAAAGUAUUUUCUUUGAGAGUUUGUACUCACAAGUUACUGAGAUUUAUUAGGUUGGAGAUAUUUGAGGAGACUGAUCCCGUCAGAGCAUUUCUAUCAAGCCGACUGUUGCAGAAAAGAACGGUUUUAGUCUAAUAAGUGUCAAGAAGCAGAUACGCUUAAAUGUGGAGGAAAACGAAAAUUCAAGAUGGCUUUUUACUCACAGAACCUCGAGAGUCUGAACGGAAAAUAUUGUUGAUGGAAUAGUCCCAGUGAAUCUAUUUCCAUCAAACAAUCUGAAAUAAAGAAUGACAAGCAGUUUAAGUAUAGAACAUAAACUGAUAGAUAGGAUCCGGACAAAUUAGAAACUGAUCGUUUGGAUCAACUUACACAUGGAUCAGUGUCAUCUUGGAGCUGAAAAGUCUGGGUGGAAUGGUACCUGAAAGCUGGUUCUGGUUCAAAUGGCUGCAAAUUCAUAUAAUCUGUUUUAAGUUUACGCAAUAAGCAGUGGCAUAAUCCUUACUAGAAUUUCAUUUUCUUUUCAGAAUGGAGAGAGUUUCAAAACGGAAAAUACUCACAAAUGUUUAGCCUGAAACAGUUGGUCUAAGCCGGGGGUAGUGCCGCUCGAAACUGGGAGAGGUCCAGUCAACUGAUUGUCUGCCAGGUCCAGCCAAUAGAGGUUGGAGAGAUUACCCAAAGAAGCAGGUAUACUACCGGUGAAGUUAUUCGUAUUCAAAGCCCUGAGAAAAACCAAAGUUAUAUAAACUUGGGAAAAGAAAAACAUCAUAUUGGUUUGCACUGACAGUAUGAAUAAUUAGUCCAAUUCUUACAAGAAGGUUAGCUUUCCAAGUUUCCCCAAUUCACUUGGAAUAAUUCCACUGAAGCUGCAACCAGCUAGGAUCCUAAAAGAUUGAAACAGUCUCGUAUAAUUGUCCGAUAUAAAAACUCAUGUUCCAUAAAGUUCAAAAGGUGCAGAUGUGAAAAUAGCUUGGUAAAUUGUUCUUACAGGAUGUUUAGAUUGCUCAGAUCCCCUAAUCGUGGAGAGAGAGAACCGGUGAGGCCUUUGUUGAAUGAAAGAUCCCUGCAAUGUUAUCAUUUCAGCUUCGUUACAAAAAGAAUUCCAUCCCUAAUCAAGAUUGAGCUAAACAAAAUAACUGACACUGCGAAAAUAAACAUGUUUUAUGCAUAUUUUUAUAAUCAGUUCAUAAUAUACUGCAAACAUAAUGCUGGUAUGAAAGGAGGAACAAUCACACUCACAAGGAUCUUAACUCAGAGAGCCCCGCAAUGUCACUUUCAAUUUCCCCUUUCACGUUCAUUCCUGAUAAUCCCCUGCACAGUGAACAUCAGAAGAGGUUCUGGUUCAAAAUCUGAUUAAGAAAGUAAGCGAGAAUGCUCGUAAUUACAACGAUCACAUCAGAAUGCGAAGAUGAACAACACUCACAAUGCAGUCACCCUCGAACCAUUGCAAGUGAUGCCUUCCCAGCGCUCCUCACAUGGAUCGUUUGACUUGUCCCAGCUGGGUGGAACGUUGCUCCAUGUCUGCCUCAAGGAUUGGAGUGCACUAGCUGGAUCAACACACUUAUAAAUCAAUCAACUACCCUUAAUAGGAACAAUGAGGGUUUAGAACAAAAUUUAACCAAAACUUCAAAAUAAUUCACAUUAGACCGAAACUAAAUGGACUAAUUGCUUGGUACACAUGAAAGAAUCUACACCAAGGAUGCAUAAUACUGGUAUCCCAAACCAAUCACACUGUGUCAUCCAUUUUUAAUUUCCCAUAUAAUAAUAGAUGAUUGAUUUGGAAUAUCGUCACGGAGAAUAGGAAGAUGAACAUGAUAUCACAAAAAACCUCUCAAAUGAACGGAUAUGAAGGUAGCUUUGAAAUUGUAGACCAAAAGUAGAAACUACACAAAACCCAAUUUUCCCAUGAAUUAAGAGAUCAAUAUACAUAUAUAUAUAUAUAUUGAUCUUUAAGACUAUACAUACCAUCAUCUAUGUGUGUAGAUGAAGAGAUCACAUGAAUUCCAGAGAAGCAGAAAGCCAGAAAGAGCAGCAGCAGCCGCAUGGUUGCCUUGGGAAAUUUGUGGGUGAACCUGUGAGGCCGAUCAGCUAGUAAGCAGAAGCCAAAAAGCACAUUUGUACAAAAUUCUACUUCGUUGAAAUGUCAAUAAAAAUACUUUUCAAACAUAUCUUCUUCCACUACAUACCAACUACUACACCAUUUGGAUGGUUGGAAUUUUAUUUAAUGAACAAAAUUAAGAGUCCCAGGCAUGCAUGUACAUGCAUCCCUCCAAGCAACCAAAAAAGUGCUUUUUUGGAAGCUCGCUUAUUUCUAAGCAAUGAAGCUGGAUUUCCUGAGUUGGGUUCUUUCAACUGUCUCCAAAAAAACACCAUGCAGGCUACAAACCUCCCACUUUAUUUAAUUAAUUUAAUCACUUAAUUUAAUUAAUUUAAUCUAAUUAUAUGCUAAUUGACUAUGAUUACGACAGAGAGUGAUGAGAUGAUGGUUGUUUUUUUGCUCUGGAAGACUAACCGGAAAGAUACGAUGAUUUUGGUUGGUGGGUCCUAAAACUCUGACAUGCAAGACAAGGCGACGGGCUCCGCCUCCUUCGGCUGGGACCGAUUCCUGGUUUCAUCCUUGUUCUUGUUGAAUAAAAUAAUGAACACGGUUUGGUCGUUUCCUAAGGAAAUAUCUAAUAUGUUCAGAACAAAUCAAAAUUAAAUAACGAUAUAUUGAUCACAUAAUAAGGACAUAACAAUCAAAUAUCGAUAGUCAACAAUUGUAAUUUAAGAAAAAAUCAUUUUGACCAAUUAAAUUAAUAGACAAUACAUGUGGUUAUUCUUCCUCCUUCAGCGCUAUGACAUGAUAUAAUUUUGUCGUAUUAUUAUCGGAAUUGUUCAUUCUUUUUAUCAUCAUCUAACAACCAUCUCUACAAAAAUUCAUUCGUUUGGACAUCAUUUAGUCAUCCAUAUAUGUCAAACCAAUCGGCAGUCAUGAUAACAAGUAACAUCCUUAUUAUGAACCAAUGACUAAAGGAUUUCUAAAUCAAAUAAUUUUUUUAAAGAUGUUCAUUUGGAAGAAAAAUAACACUUUAUAUGUAAGGAGUCAAACAAUAUAUAUUUUUUUAUAUACAUAGUAAUUGUUUAUAGAGUCAUUCUUUCUUAAGUGCAUAACCCGUCUUAAAUAAGAAGAACUUACAUGCAAUCAGUUUGGUAAAUUGAUUGUAUUCAUGUCUAGGUCGACACUAAAAUAUACGAGGACGCAUUAUAGGCUUAAAAGAUAUUGAACAAGUUAUAACACAUGACCACACAUUAUUAACAAAGAUGCCGCCAAUAGUGUCCUUGCAAGCAAGUUUCUCUUCAACAAUUGUAAUUUAAGAAAAAAUCAUUUUGACCAAUUAAAAUUAAUAGACAAUACAUGUGGUUAUUCUUCCUCCUUCAGCGCCAUGACAUGAUAUAAUUUUGUCGUAUCAUUAUCGGAAUCGUUCAUUCUUUUUAGGAUUUUUAUCAUAAAUGAUCUCUGAAAUUGACCCACUCCAUCAAGAUGGUCAUUGAAAUUGAAAAUCUAUAAAUGUAGUCCCUGAAAAUGGAUGACGCAAAUCAAUGUGGUCCUUCCAUUAGAAUUCCGUCAAUAUUUUUGUUAUGUGCUGAUGUGGCACAUAAAUAGAUCCCACAAAUCUAAUUAAACAUUACCAUGUGGAUUAAAAAUGUUUAAAUAAUAUUUUUUUAAAGUUUUAUAUAAUUAAAAAUGAAAAAAAAUCGAAAAAAAAAACAAGAAGAUGACAGUUCAUCUUCUUCUUAGCCUCCCACUGGAGCAACCACCCAAGUCCCCACCCCACCCCGUCGCACAUGUAAUCGCAGCCAAACAGAUGGCCCAACGCCUCAAAGAAACCUCCAUCUUCCAACUCCCCAACCUCCCCACCUCCAUUUCAUGCGUCCAAAACUACCAGUCCAAGCUCUCCUCCCUCUCCCUCCUUCCCAAUAUUGUCAACUGCUGCUUUGACCCUUUCCAGUUUAUCAUCACUGCGGUUUCAUGUGCGACUAGGUGGGGUGGGCUGUUGAGGUUGCUCGGAUGGGAGGGGAAGAAGAAGAUGAACAAUUCAUUUUUUUUUCCUUUUAUAUUUUUUAAGACUUGAAAUUUAAAAAAAAAAAAAUUUAAAAACAAAAUAAGAUGCUUCCUCAGUGCGCCCAGCAAUCCCACACUGAGUGACAACAAGACGUCGGUCUUGACCCGUAACACCUCAUCCGGCAACGCAUAGUCAAGCACUGAAACCAGGCAGGAGUAAAAGCCCCUGGUGAUUUCGGAAUUGUUGUCGGCCGCGAAUCUCAGCUUGCUCUCCUCGUCCAUCUCGGCCUGUAGCCACACCCGGGCCGUGCAACCCAUGACCCACAUUGAAUCAACCAGACCCAAAUCAUCAAACGGCGAGAGGAGAGUUGCAUAGUGCAACAUGCGUUUAACCCUGUUGAUUGGCUCGGGGAGUUAACGCCGCCGUACGAGCCUUUCUUGCACUUGUCGUCAUCAUCGCAAAUGUAAUCGGAGCCAAACACAACCCCACCAGGAAGUGCUGAACUUGGAAGUGAGUGACUUGUUGGGCUUGAAAGAAGCGAAAGGGGAGGAGGAGAAGACUCUGAGCACCAUGGCUGUUGCAGAGCAAGCAUUUUUUUUAUUUUUUAUUUUUAGUUUUUUAUUAAAAAAAUAAAAUAAAUUUUUUUUUAUUACUUAAAUACUUUUUAUUCACAAAAUAAUAUUUUAUUAAAUUUGUGGGAUCCAUUUAAGUGCCACAUCAUCACUUAACAGAGUUUUUAACGGAAUGGUGAUGGAAGGACCAUAUUGAUUUGCGAUAUCUAUUUUCAGGGACUACAUUGAUCGAUUUUUAAUUUCAGGGACCAUUUUGAUGAGAUGGGUCAAUUUCAGGGAUCAUUUGUGAUAAAAACUCUUCUUUUUAUCACCAUCUAACAACCAUCUCUACAAAAAUUCAUUUGUUGGACACCAUUUAGUCAUCCAUAUAUGCCAGACCAAUCGACAAUCAUGAUAAUAAGUAACAUCCUUAUUAUGAACCAUCUAUUUGUGUGAUUCAUAUGAAUGACUAAAGGAUUUCUAAAUCAAAUAUUUUUUUUUAAAGAUGUUCAUUUGGAAGAAAAAUAACUCUUUAUAUGUAAGGAGUCAAAUAAUAUUUUUUUUAUAUACAUAGUAAUUGUUUAUAGAGUCAUUCUUUCUUAAGUGCAUCGCCCGUCUUAAAUGAGAAGAACUUACAUGCAAUCAGUUUGGUAAACUGAUUGUAUUCGUGUCUAGGUCGACACUAAAAUAUAUGAGGACACAUUAUAGGCUUAAAAGAUAUUGAACAAGUUAUAACACAUGACCACAUGUUAUUAACAAAGAUGCCGCCAAUAGCGUCCUUGCAAGCAAGUUUCUCUUCAACAAUUGUAAUUUAAGAAAAAAUCAUUUUGAUCAAUUAAAUGUAGUCAUUCUUCCUCCUUCAACGCCAUGACAUGAUAUAAUUUUGUCUUAUCAUUAUCGGAAUUGUUCAUUCUUUUUAUCACCAUCUAACAACCAUCUCUACAAAAUUUCAUUCGUUUGGACACCAUUUACUUAUCCAUAUAUGACAGACCAAUCAGCAGUCAUGAUAACCAGUAACAUCCUUAUUAUGAACCAUCAAUUUGUGUGAUUCAUAUGAAUGACUAAAGGAUUUCUAAAUCAAAUAAUCUUUUUAAAGAUGUUCGUUUGGAAGAAAAAUAAUUUUUUUAUAUGUAAGGAGUCAAACAAUAUUUUUUUAUUUACAUAGUAAUUGUUUAUAGAGUCAUUCUUUCUUAAGUGCAUUGCCCGUCUUAAAUGAGAAGAACUUACAUGCAAUCAGUUUGGUAAACUGAUUGUAUUCGUGUCUAGGUUGACACUAAAAUAUACGAGGACGCAUUAUAGGCUUAAAAGAUAUUGAACAAGUUAUAAUACAUGACCACACGUUAUUAACAAAGAUGCCGCCGAUAGCGUCCUUGUAAGCAAGUUUCGUAAGAAAUGGAUAUGAGGAGUAAGGAGUAAAGACGACCUAUGGUAUGUCUGUAACUAGUGUCAUUGUCUCCACUAGGUGGUGGUGACGGUUGAGGCGAUUUUUAUGAAGGUAGGGUCUUCUUCUCAUUUUGUUUUCUUAGCAUUAAAGAUCUUAUUGAAACAGACGAUUUCUAGAUUGCGACUGUGUCUACAACAACAAUAAAGAUUUAUUUUAUUAAGUGGAGUUGGCUUUAUGAAUUCUAGAACGUCAUUGCGUUCGGUUUUGCGCCAAGUCCUCUGUUAGUUUCAAAUACUCCAUGUAUUUUCUUAAAGUUUCUUUUCAAGUCUUCUCUACUCCUUUUGCCCUAAGCCUAUAUUUCAUAAUCGCAUUUUCUAAUUAGAGUAUCUGUAUGUCUUCGUUUCACAUGGUCAAACCACCUCAACCGAGACUCUAAAAAAUAAAAUAUCCAAAUUCACUACAACAAAGAAAAUUCUUUCUUUUGGUGAGUCAAAAUCCAAAUACAUAAACCAAGUACAAAUUGCCGUCUAACACGGCACCAAUAAGAACAACUCCAACUAUAAGGGUUUUCGUUCACAAAGAAAAUUCAACAUUGUUUGGAUAAACAGCACUGUGAAAGCAACCGGCGAUAUCUUCAGUUUGGAUAAACAGCACUGAAGCCUUAGAACCAGCUGACCAAUAAGCAACUUCAAUUUAGAUAAACAUCACUAUUUUGAGGCCGAUUAGUUAUUUAUCCAAGUCUUGGCCAAUAGGGAUUUAUGAGUCUUUGUUGGUAGAGGUCAUCUCAUCAACCUUCUCGGCGAAGUGAGGUGUUACAAGGAUACUUGGCUAGGCACAUUGAAACCAAGUUUUGUUUAUGAUUGGAUACUCCCAAGUAAGUUUUAGAGUUCGGCAUUUCGACGGCCAAACCAUACUUACGAUCAAGACAUACAUUUCUUUCGAGUAUUUGUGUCCAUAUAGUUUGGUACCAGUUCAGCGUGCUUAUACUCUCACGAAUAUAAUCACUGUGAUCGAACCCAGCGUUGACGAUUUGUGAACUUCCCAGAACUAGUAACCUUGUCUUCAAGCUUUAAAACUCAAAGGCCGACACGUGUUCCUUCCUCGACCUCAGUCGCAAGAUCGAGAAGUCAACAUCAUGCUCAACGCAACAUCAACAUAUUUUACUUCCCGGCCAAAUUCGGCCGACGAGUUGGCACGCCCUGCACACAACUGAAUGACGUAGUUAGAUUAUUAAUUACUCAACAUGCGCGCCACGUAGGCAUGGUAGUUUUUAGGGUCAAUAUUUUGGCAUGCCGGUGAGAUCUAGUGCUAAAACUACGAAGUUCAUGACCAUUAAAACACGAUCAGUAAAAAAGAAAACAAUCAUGGUAAAGUCGACGACUAAUCUUCCAGUCUAAAACCCAGGACAAAAUGGCUUGUUACAGGCACAAAAUCAUCCUGCUGUUGCGACACCUGAAGCCACGAGUGUGACACGUCGAGAAAAGGAAAUUAAUCUCGGCAGUCAGACUCGUGAUACAGAAUUCCCCACCAAAGUGACAAAAGACAUUUUUGCUGAAUGACUAGUGGAUGAUUGUGACGAGGACGGUGGUAAGGCCUCUGAUCUACCAACCAAAUCGUUUAUUCGACGACGACUUGAAGAACAAUCCUGGCUGUUUGAGCAAAUAUUUAGCCGAGAGGUAAAAAGUAUACUUGAAUAGAUGCGUGAUAAUAUCGCUAUGCACAACAGAAUGCUCGAAGCUCUAGUUAACGAAGUCCACAAAAGUGGACUUGCUGAUCGAUCCAGACAACAUUUUCUAAAGAAUAAUCCCCUACCAGCGAUAUAAGCUGAGACAGGAUCUGCUCGGCUUAAAAUGAUUGACUUAGAGAAAAAUGGUGGAUCGAGCUGCAGAUCAGACAAAUUUGACCAAAAAGCAGAAACGACAUAUGUUGACAUAGUCGAAGUCUAAAUGAUGAUUGAUUCGACUUUAAAAAAUGGGGCUAAAGUUUCCAAAGUUCAUUCACCCAUAUCCAGCCUUUGUAGAAAGGUUCGAGUAUCCCAAGAGAUUCAAAAUUCCAGUCUUUAGCCUUUUCGUUGGGGAAUCAUCCUUAUCCUCAUUGGAACACGUGGCUCUGUUCACCGCUCAAUAUGGAGAUGUUAACAGUGACUUUCAUAAAUUACGACUUUUCAAUUUUUCGUUGACCAGCUCAACAUUCGCAGGGUACAUCAAUCUCCCGCCCAACUCCAUCCAAAGCUGGCAGGAAUUAGUCGAGAAAUUUCAUAAGCAAUUAUAUCGGCCAGGGAUGGAAAUGUCAGUCUCUUCUUUGGCUAGGAUGGAUUAAUCAUCCGACGAGUCACCAAUGGAAUACCUUACGAGGUUUACGUCAACCAAAAACUGGUGCCGAGUACCUCUCCCUGAAGUUGAGUUCUUUAGGAUCGCCUUAAAUGGCCUAGACAUAGAGUACAAAAAAGAAAUUCUUUUGGGAAAACUUCCCAAGACAUGUACGAAUUGGCUCAACAUUAUCGAGCAAUAUGAUUAUUUGCUCUGAGAAGAGAAGAUCUCGAAGUCCCCAUCCUGAGGAACGGUCUACAAGAACCCUACGGUCAGUUAUGCAUCGGUCGAAUGCGAAUAGUCCCAAUAUGCCAAUAUAGAAGCGGGCGAGAUAGUAAUCGACAAACCAUAUAUAUGCAAAGCAUUGACUCAUGCUAACUUCAAGGAUGCCAAAACCCGAUCGACCUCUGAGGAAGCUGCCAUCAAUACGUCAAAAGUCUAUACUUUUGACAUCACCAAGACCGAUGCCAUAUUCGACCAGUUAUUGCUAACGAAAAUUGUCAAGCUUUAGCCACAUCAUAAUAUUCCCAAGGCCAAAGAUUUAAAAGGUAAGACAUGUUGUAAAUACCACAACUUGAAUAAGCAUACUACAAAUAAUUGUGUCGUAUUUCACGAUGCCAUUCAGAGUUGGAUCGAAAAUGGUAAGCUCAAGUUUCCUGAGAAACAAAUGGUCAUUGACGCCGAUCUUUUCCUUACGACAACAGUGAGCAUGAUAGAUGCUUACCUACCCAAAGACAAGAGAAAGGGAAAAGCCGAGUUCAUCCCGAUGCAUACGUACUUAGGCAGAAUGCUCGACUACGAUUGAAGGUCGAUCUAUCCUCGGACGAGCCACCCAGAUACUUUUCAAACCCAAUUUAUGAUGAGUCAAUGUUAGACUCCAGCACAAAGAAAACUGACGAGCCAAUGGUUUUAUGCAGCUGGUGCAAAUAAAGUGUUAUCAUAACUAAGUCGAAUUAACAGCCAUUUCAAGUUGAAGUACCGCAAUCGGCGCUUGCAGCUACGGCGACGUCUGGAAAUGUGCUCGGUCCAAGCCAACACUAGAAAGUUUUCAAUAGGCUCGAUCCUAAAUAACAGGAUGGUAAGCCAUCUUCGGCCAGAUGGUGACUUGAUUUUGACGCGCCAUUUUACAAUGAAGAUUAUUAUGCGCGUAACUCUAGCAGCUCGAGUUCUUCCACGAACCAGCGAACCUUCAAGCCACCUGAGCCACGCGACCAACGUUGGUAUAGCUUACCGACAAGUAGCCCAGGUUACCCCAGCUACCAAAUGGCAGCCGAAAGAAACGGUGGAUAACGAAGAUGACCGACAACCUCCGGAAAUCAUGGAUGAGCUACUUCAAGGAAAGAAGGUGAUCGAUCACGAUUUUGAAACCACAAUUGAAGAAUCCAAGAAGCAAAUCAAACUUCUUCUUCGGCCUAGGGAGAUGAAAGCUCGCCUUGAGCACUUCCAAAAGGAAGCCGAAAGCAAACUUCCUCCAUUACCCCCCACAAGAACUAUUAAUUAAAUUCUGACGGAAUCUCCAUCUGCCGUUUCUCAGUGAAGAUUUGGAAUACAUGCGGAAGUUUCAUAAGAAAUAUUCGGCCAAUGACUUGUACGACCUAGGAAAAGCAUGUCAAGAGGCUCUUGAUCUGGCUUUAACCUGCCUCGAUGCUGAAUAGAUCAUCCAGAAGACCACGGAUCCAAGAAUGAAGGCUAGGUUCCAACAUAUACGUGAAGCCCGAGUUCUCAGCUUUGAGGUGGAACCUUAUACUAAUAUUGAUAUUACCGAGCUUCCUUUCUUUCUUGAGGAUCUUCAGUAUUUACGAUAUAAUUUUGAAGUUUUCUCAGCCAUGUCCAUCUUCGGCCUUACAACCAAUGAAAAAGAAGACAUGGCGCGAGUAGACACUUACCUGGACACGAGGGACGUCUGUAUCGCAUAUCAGGAGCGGACUCGCAAGGUUUCAUAAGAGCAAAACCAAGUCCCAACGUCGAGCGAGCCCUCGAGAUCGACAUGAAGAAUGACACAGCUCUAACGAACAUGCUAUAGGAACAUAUUCUCAUGACAGUCGAAUAAGAUCAAGAGAGUAAUGUCUACGAGCAAGAUACCUCGCCCGAAAAUCCAGAAGAUGAAAAUCACGACCCGAUUGGCCUUUCGGUCCUCGACAACAUAGAAAUCAGCAUGGUCCAUGUCUUACCUGCCGAAUUCUGACCAACCACAUCCCAACCAAAUUUCCUAGACAACGAUGUGGUUGCCGAUGAGGCCAUAUAAGUCAAUCUUGUGGCCACCGAAGAGAUUGAACAAGUAAGCAAGGAGGAUAAACUUAGAAAACCUCUCGCCGAAUUGUUUCCCCAUUCUUCAUUCGUUAAUCUCCAGCAUCUGAAGCCGUUGUAUGUCAUGACCCAUAUUUAAGGAUACCCGGCUUCCAAGAUUUUUAUCGACUGUGGAGCAACGGUCAAUAUCAUGCAUGUUUCUAUCAUGAAAACACUACGUCGCUUCAACGACAAACUCAUUCCAUCAGGGGUAACCAUGAAUAGCUUUGUCGGUGAUAAAUCUCAAACCAAGGGAGUAUUUCCUUUAGAGGUAAAUAUCAUAGGUUGAAAUCACAUGAUCGCGUUUUUUAUAAUCGAUUUAAAGACCGAGUACAAUGCAUUGCUUGGUCGUGAGUGGAUCCACCAAACUAGCAGUAUCCCUUCAUCAUUAUUUCAAGUCUUCAUCUUCUGGGAUGGUAAAUUGAUCACUCAUAUUUUUCAUGCAUUUAUACCAUCCAUUUCUAAAGUGUUUGUGAUGUUUUUGCGUUAAAAUUGUGGCAUUUUACCUUACCUUGUGUUAAUAUACAGUUAUUUUUGUUUUAGCAUUGUUUUCAUAGAAAAUGGACUGGUGGAGAAAAGAAAGAAAUGAAAAACCAGCUGAAAAGAAAGACAGUGGAAGAGGGUCACGGCAUAAACAAAGGAAGUGGAUGGCACACUGAGGGAAAAGCAAAAAGAAGAGAAGAGUGGGGGAGAAAGAAGUGGACUGCAGAAAGAAUAAAAAAAACAGAAAAGAGAGAUGGACACGGCAAGAAAUAAGAUGGCAAUAAGAAAAAAAUAAAAGAAAUCCAUGGCAUGGCAGACAUUGAGUGAUGGAGAAGAAUAAAAAAAGGAAAUAUAAAGGAGUGGAAGGCAGCAAGCAUGAUAAAAAAUAACGCAAGGCAGAAAAGAAGUGAUAUAAGAGAUAGACGUGAGGCGCAGAGAGAGGGGGGAAGGAGGGAGACUGACAGGCGACAGAAGAAUACAGGGAAGCAGAGGAGGAACCAAAAACGGGUGUUUUCUUUCUUUGUUAUUUUUUUUUAUGGAUAAUUACUUAUGUAUUCACAUAAUUAUGUGUAACUAAUUUUUAGUAGUUAGGGGCUGUUUUGAAGCCCCUAAUAUGAUUGUAAGUUUGUUGUGAUAUUUUGUUUGAAUGACUUUUAUGAAAGGAUGAAAAUUGUUUCACUACUUAUGUCAUUGAUAAAUUCUUUAUGUGUUUCUAUGGAUGCAUACAUAGUGAGCAUAUCUAGGAUUUUAAUGCUAUGAAUAUAUGUCUGCCUGCCCUUGUUGAAUGAGGACCUACAUAUGUUCUAGAGUAGCACUUGUUAAUUGUGGUUAACAUGUGAAACGAUUUCUAGGAUAAGUAAGACAACACCAGUACUUACGAUGUCUUGUGAUGACUCAAACUCUUUUUAUUCUUAAUGAUUUCUACUUGUUAAAUCUAUGAACACACCAUUCUAGAUUGCAUGCUAGGGACUAAGUUAAGUUGAAAACGUCAUUCUCUUAACAUACUACGUAAGAAAGAGUAAUAGGUUGAGUUCUAACAGUGAGCCAACUUGAUCAUCUUCAUCCGGAAAUAAAAGGGAUUUGAAUGAAACAUAACAUACUUACAAGAUUAUUUGGUGGUGGAUAGCAUGUCCCCUAACUCGUUUUCUUAACUUGUGAAUUAAAAUCUAUUGGUAUUAUUUAAAAUCUGUUUCUGUACUGUUUUUGUACGAUUUAAUUUAAAUAGAAAAUCAACUCCAAAAAUCCCAAAAAUUUGUGAGACUGUUGUACUGUGUGUCUAGUUUAUGUGUAUAAAAUUUCGUUUCAUUUGGAUAAGUGUAAGUUAGUCUAAUAAUUAUUGUUCGGUGGCUGGUCAGUGGAGACGGCCACCCUGUUUUUGUGACAUUUUAAGUAUUUGGAUAAAACAAUCUUCUGCGGGAAAGACCCUUAUUUUCAUAUGCUACAAUUGACAAAUCUUAGUGUUAAUAAGGAAAAUUAUUAGGAUUAUUGUGUGCUACUUUGUGGUGCGUUAUAAAUUACCUAUCAUAAAUCGGUCGUAGUUUAUCCAGCCGAUAGUCAUACGUUCGAAGCCAAUAUGAUUCAAGCUUGCUAUUACGAUGAUCAAGUCGGCUACAUCACCCUGCAAGGUUUUAACGACGAAUGGCGACUGACUCGGAUUUCAGUUCAGAAAGUCAUCGAGGUUGGUGCCGAGAUUGUUCACCAGGAUUCGACGAAACUUGGGUUGGCCAACAUAAUUGACGAUCCUGAUGCUUGAUACCAAACAUGAUAAACGCCAAGCUGCAGUUUCAUCUAUCAUGUAAUGCUUGCUGGCCCAUUGGUAUACUAUUUCCAAGCAACCGAAUUUCAGCAUGAACUUAGUCAAGUUAUUCACCAAAUGAGACAACGUUCCAGUCUUGUCACUUGAUAAAGUCCAAGCUGCCCUAGUCGAGCUCGAAGACAGUCGGCCCCAAGUCAAAGGUCCAUUGGAUGAAAUAAAUGUUGGAACGGCUAAUGACCCUCGGCCUUUAUUUAUUAGUGUUUUAUUACCCCCAAACUAUGAAAACCGAGCUUUGUAAAUUAAUCGAAGAAUUUAAAGAUUGUUUUGCUUAGAGUUACCAUGAGAUGUCUGGUUUAGAUCGAACACUCGUCGAGCACGAAUUACUCAUCAAGGCUAGUCGUAAACCUUUCCGCCAACCCCCCCCCCCGACAUUCUCGAUCAAAGCUUAGCUCGGCAUAAAAGAUGAACUCGUUUAACUUUUCAAAGCCAGUUUUAUUCGAAUAGUUCAAUACGUCAAAUGGUUGGUGAAUCUUGUCCCAGUUUUAAAGAAAAACGGUGCUUUACGUAUUUGCACUAAUUUUUGUAAUUUGAACUUGGCAACCCCUAAAGACGAAUAUACAAUGCCAAUUUCAGACUUGUUAAUCGACGCUGCAGCAAACCAUGAGAUGUUAUCUUUUAUGGACAGUUAUGCUGGUUACAACCAGAUUUUCAUUGCUGAGGCUAAUGUCCACAAAUUAGCUUUUCGUUGCCUGGGGAUGGUCGGGACCUACGAAUGGGUCGUCAUGCCUUUCAAACUUAAGAACGCCAGUGCCACAUAUCAACACGCUAUGAAUACUAUUUUUCAUGACCUGAUUGACACAAUCAUUGAGGUAUAUAUCGAUAAUGUCAUGGUCGACACACAACCGAUCACAUUUAGAUGACCUUCGACAAGUUUUCCUUCGUAUGCUCUAGCAUAACCUUAAAAUGAAUCCUGCCAAAUGUGCCUUUGGUGUAUCGGCAGGCAAUUUUCUAAGUUUCUUUGUACAUCAUCGUGGCAUCAAGAUGGAUAAGAAUAAAGCUCGAGCGAUCAUUGAUGCUUCACCUCCGACAACCAAGAAGCAAUUACAAUCCUUACUUGGCAAAGUCAAUUUCCUCCGCCAUUUCACUUAUAAUUCGGUGGGGAAAAUGAAGGCUUUCUCUACGCUCUUGAAACUUAAGGAUUCUGAAAAAUUCGAAUGGUGAGAAGAGCAUCAGGAUUCUUUCACGCAAAUCAAGGUCUCCCUCACUACUCUGCAUGUCCUUGUGCCAUCUCGACGGGGUAAACCCAUUAAGUUGUAUAUCUCGGUUGCCGAGGAAUCUAUCGAAUGUCUCUUUGCCCAAGAUAACGACACUGGGCGAGAGCAUGCCAUUUUUUAUCUUAGCUGAAAUCUUAACUCAGCAGAGAUAAAUUAUUCAGCCGUCGAGAAACUCUGUUUAGCUUUGUUCUUAACUGUGUCUAAGCUCCGGCAUUACAUGCUCCAUUCUAUUACUCAGGUCAUCGCCAAGAGAUAUGUUAUUCGCUACAUGCUCACUCGACUGAUAGUAAAAGGCCGAAUUGGGAAAUGGACAAUGGUACUGUCCGAAUUCAGUUUACAGUACGUGCCUUAGAAAGUUGUCAAAAGACAAGCAAUGGUCGAUUUCUUAGCUCAACAUCCUUCUCCACAUGGUUUUGGGGGCAACGACGUUGAACUAGGCAUGGUGGAAACACGUGAUAAUUAUUGGACGAUGUAUUUUGAUGGCUCUAGUACCUCAACCUUGACUGCCGUCGGAAUCGUCAUCCAGUCCCCUGAUCACUACCAGUGGUAUGUUUAUCUCAAGCUGGAUUUCGACUGUACAAAUAAUCAAGCCGAAUACGAAGCCCUUAUCAUCGGCCUUAACAUCUUUCAUGACUUGAGGGCAGCCCAUGUGCUCAUCAUUGGUGAUUCAGAACUUGUGAUUAACCAACUCAAUGAGACUUUUCGUUGCAUGAGUUGUACUCUAGCGCCUUAUCAUAUGGUUGCCAGCUAUUUAGUCGAAUUGUUUGCAGGCAUUACAUUCAAGCACAUCUCACGAGCUCAAAAUACUAAUGUAGACGAAUUAGCUCAAAUAGCCUUCAGAGCACAAAUCUUGGAGGGUGAACUAGGUUAGGUCAUACUAGUAGUGCGACAUCCACACCCGACCUUAGUUAAUCAGCAAGUUCUCAAAAAUCACCACUUGAUCCGUACAUGAGUUAUGUCCAUACCUUCAUUGUUGGAACAUGAGGAUCCUAUAUAUAUAUUUGUGCGGUCGAGACAUUACCAGACAACUGGAGAAAGUCAAUUAUGCAGUAUCUUGAUAAUCCCAUGGUAACCACGACCACAAAACAAGGGUACAUGCCACAAAUUACGUAAUGUAUCAAAAUAAGCUAUACUAAAAAAGUGAAGAUGGUCUGUUGCUAUUGUGCCUCGGUCUGGAAGAGGCCGCCCAAACUAUUACAAAGGUACAUGAAGGGAUAUGCGGGGGCUCAUCAAUCUGGACGUAAAACACGAUGGUUGUUCUGUUGACACGAUUAUUUUUGGCCAAGUAUGUUGAAAGAUUACAUCUAAUACACGCGAGGUUGUGUACAAUGUCAAAUCCAUGGGCCUGUACAAAGAGUACCGGCCGAAUUACUUCACUCAGUCACCAAACCAUGGUCGUUCAAAGGAUGGGCCAUAGAUGUAAUCGAAAGAAUUACGCCGUCUUCCGAAUCAGCAAAGCAUGCAUGGAUACUCGUUGUGACGGACUACUUCACCAAGUGGGUUGAAGCGAAGUCAUAUGCCAAGUUAACUUCUAAAGAGGUCUGUAAUUUUGUAGAAGAAAACAUUAUGACAAGAUUCGGCGUACCCGAAACAAUUAUAAUGGACAACGACAUAAUUUGUACAACCGACGGGUUUAAAGAAUAUGCGGCGAGUUUGAAAAUUCGGCUCGAUCAUCCACGCCGUAUUAUCCACAAGAAAACGGGCAGGCCAAAGCAAGUAAUAAAGUUUUAAUCGGUAUCCUUAAGAAAAUGAUAAAAGAAAAGCCUAGUAUGUGGCAUUUGAAGUUAAACGAGGCAUUAUGGGCAUACCGAACUUCACUCCGAUCAGCAACAGGGAUGACCCCAUAUGCGUUGAAUUAUGGACACGACGCAAUGCUACAGGUCAAGUUAAACAUAAACUCGUUAUGAGUUACGAACAAAGCAGUUUUUUAGUACCGAGUAUAGUUAGGCCAUGAGGCAAGAGUUGGAGGACUUGGAGGAAGCUCGGCUCGAUGCCUAUAACUUACUAGUGGCGUAGAAAAAGAUCGCCAAACGAGCUUAUAAUCGACGAGUUAGACAAAAUACUUUCAGCAAAGGUGAAUUAGUAUGGCAAACUGUGUUACCAGUGGGGAUUAAAGACCCUAGAUUUAGGAAAUGGUUGCCGAAUUGGGAAUGACCAUUCGUCGUCCACAAAAUUCUCGACAUGGGGGCAUACCACCUCAAGGAUCGAACUGGUUGGGUUCAUGAAUUACCGAUCAAUGAAAAAUUCUUAAAGAAAUAUUAUGGGAUCACUUAGGAAAUUUUUUUUUAAUUUAUUAAAAAUUUUUUUUUUUGCCACGUAGCACAAAUUUGGCAACCACAUGGCACAAAAGUGGCAGUCACAUUAGCUCUUAAUGGAUCAAUGGAUGGAAAAUGUAACGGAUGUUGUUGAUGCACAAAAUCGGGUCGAUCUUGGACCAACAUAAAUCCGACCAUGAAUCACACAAACGCACAAGAACACAAAGAUAUAUCGUGGUUCACCUCAAGUUGAGGCUACGUCCACACUAGUGUUGAUUCUGUUUCACUAUGUAAAUGAAUGUUGAAUAUACAUGGAGGCUAUAGAGGCAGUGUUUGCUCUCUUUACUAUUCUGUUUGCUCUCCCGUUUCCCAUCUGUCUGUUUCCAUUUCCCCUCUAAGUGAGUGUGAGGGAGCCCUUUUAUAAAAUAAGGGUUUCCUCCCCUCUUACAUGAAUCAUGGGCUAAGUAAUGAAUCCCAAAUACUUAGGCCUAAUAUAUGGUAUAACAAGAGUCCCCCAAGUCUUCAGUCAAGAGAGUCUUUUAGCUAGAGACUUCAAAUCCAAUCCAUGUGCGAGCCGAAGUGACUAGAUGUCGUCCAGAACUAGUACUCGACAUGAGACGGUGUUUAACGUGAAGCAAUACUCAGCUAGAGGUAGCACACGUUGAGAGGCUGCUUGGCUAGAGGCAAUGCUCGCGGCGAUGUGGUUGCUCUGCUGAAGGCGGUGUUCGUUGCGAGGCGGCUCGGCUUGUGGCGUUCAACAUUGCGAGUAUGCACUCGACGUCAACGUGAGCUCAUUAUGAGUUAAUUCUCGACAUGACUUGGAUCCGCUUGUUAGGUUUGUAUAUAGGUAUAUGUGUCGAGUGAAUCUUUUGGUUGGAAACUUCAAACCUAAUCCAUGUGCAGGCUGAAGUGACUAAAUGUUGUCUUGAACCAGUACUCGACAUGAGGCAAUGCUCAACGUAAAGUAAUACUCAGCUAGAGGUAUCACACGUUGCAAGGAUGCUUGGCUAGAGGCAAUGCUCGCGGCGAGGCGGUUGCUCGAUUAGAGGCGGUGCUCGUUGCAAGGCGGCUCAGCUCAUGGCGUUCCUCAUUGCGAGUAUGCACUCAACAUCAGCUUGCACUAAGUAUGAGUUAAUUCUCGACAUGACUCGAGUCUGCUCAUCGGGUUCGCAUAUUGGGUCUAUGUGUCGGGUCCGCGGAUUGGUCCACAAGUCGGGUCUUUGAGUCGGGGCCAUCCGUAGGGUUCGUAAGUUGGGUCCACAAAUUGGGUCCGUGAGUCGGGGUUCGAGCUUAAGGGUGUCUAAUCUCGUAAGUGCCCAAACUAAUAGGUGUCCAAGCUCGCGGGUGUCCAAGCACAUAGGUGUCCAAAUGAGCAAGUCUCCGAGCAAGUGGGUGUCCGGUCAAACAAAAGAUUAAUGUUCAUACUAAAUCUUUGUCACCAUAAGAAUAUGGCUCAUUAGUCAAUAGGUUGGUAGGCUUCUUUAAUCAGUGACAAUAUUGAUCAAUAGAGCUAGUUGCUCAAUAAUUCCUAACAAUAAAUGACAGUAUAAGUAUGAACGUAUACUGAGUAAAUCAAAUUGACAUAGUUUGGCAAGGCAAAAUAUUGUACCAUGUGCCUACUACAAAUAAAUAAUUUAUUAAGUUGUGUGGUAUAUGAUUUGUAUCAUAUAUGACAUUGUUAAGGGCAUCACAUAUCACUAGGUAAUGAAUAAUAUAUAUAUAUAUAUAUAUAUAUAUAUAUAUAUAUGUUAGAUAUUUUCAUUCAAGUAAUGAAGAUAUCCAAUUUGGUUAGACCAUGCCAUGAGUUAUAGUAAUUGUGAGGUGAUAAAAUAAUAAAAAUACAGGUUUGUGGUGUAGUGGGUGUAAAGAAUAAAGAGGGUUUUGGGUGGAUGUGAUCAGUAGUCAUGUAUGGCAAUAAUUAUACUAAAAUAUUUAAAUAAUGAAUAUAGUGUUCAUGAAUGAUUAAAGCUGGCAAGAUUAAGUUGUGUGUAUCAGACAAGUGGUCUUGUAAUAAACAUUAAAUAUUAAUAGACAAUGAUAUUGAGAAAACAUAAUGAUGGGUUUCUUUCAGGCAUGACCAACAAUAUCAAAGGGGAAUAAUAGUAUUAUGAAAGUGAAAUGUUUUAAAUAUGUUGUAUAAGGUUGUAAUAUAUUUCUAACCUGAGGUGGUAAAGUGUAAUUUACCCCAAAAAUAUCUACUUCCAUUUGGAUGGCGAAGAAUCCUUUCAUCCCAAACCAAACGUUGCUGGCCUACAUCUGUGCUGUGAACACCUAAACCAAUAUUAGCAUUGCUACUGCCAGCAACAGUGAGUUCGACACUUGACCAAAAGUACUUGAGUUUGACCUAAUUUUAUGUUAUGGAUCUUGUAAAAUAAAUGCAUUUGUUUUUUGGUACAUCAAGUGAGAUUCUGUCUAAGGUUUUAUCCAGACAAUUUGUGUCGCUUUCAACUUGUGCGGUUAAGCGGAAGAUAAUAUCGAUGCAACACUAAGAGACAUGUUAUCCUAGAGGUUUCUGUUUGGGGCUAGCUUCGGUUAGCUUAUCCUUGACGCCCCCAAAGAACGAGAAGAACUUUCUUGCACCGGUUGCAUGAGUAUGUUCAUCUGUAUGCCCUUUAGGACUAUUGGACUUUUAAUGCGCAUAAUGACAUUGAUUAGUACAUUUGCGCAUGGGUGUCUUGAGGUUGUGAGUUCAUAGCGUGGAAUAAGUGGUACCACACUACUAUUUAUUAGAGUUAUGUCAAAUGAUCAAAACCAGUAGAAAAAUAAUUUCUACACAUGUUUUUCUCCAAUAUACUCCUAUUUAUUUUAGUUACUUCACUUUUUUUAACUAAAUAAUGUAUUUUUAGUUAAAUAGUUAGUUGUUAGAAUAUCUCCAAUCCAAGGGUGUGCUCUCAAAUUUUAGCCCCAUAUUUUCAAUUACUUCACCUAUACGUAUGAGGUAAGGUAAUUUUUUUUCCUCGAACAGUAAGAGAUCUAUAAUUUCCACCCCCAACUUUAUAAUUUGUUAAACUUUUGUAUUUAGUUGAUUUUUUUGUUAAUAAUUUUGGAAUUAGUUUUUAUAUAAUCUAUGUUGUUUUAUUUUUGCAAACAUUUUCAUGUGAAAAAAUUCAAAUUCUGAAGAAAAAAAAUUGUUGAGAAAAUUGAAAUUUUAAUGGAUCAAUGAACACAUGGAUGUGUAUUUAUAGAGUUUUGGACUAGUUUUGGUGUUGGAUAUGAUUUGGUUAAUAAAUAAUGUUAUUUUGACAGUUAGAUUUAAAUUUUAGCCGUUUGAUAUUUUUAUUACAGUUAAAAUUGAUUAAAUUGAAUUUGAGCCAUUGAAUUAAAAAGGAUACAGCUGGCGGGCCACACUAGAACAUAACUCAUGAGGCGCUACAACCAUUGGAUUCGAAUGGCGCGCCAAUCUGGACCGUAAAACCCGUGUUUAUCGUGCACUCGCCCGCGGAGAAUCCAUCUUGGGGGAUAGGAGAACCAAAUACCCACCCCCAUCCUCAAAAUACACAUAUUAGAAAUGAUUAGCAAAAGUGCUUGCGCGAUGUUGCGGGUGUUCAAAAUGUUUUGAUAAUAUGUACACAGAAAACAGAAUUUAUUGAAGCUAUAUUUAUAUACCUAAGGUAGAGAUUGGCAGUGUUCAUAGUUAUAAAAAAGAUUGGCAGUGUCCAAUUGCUCACUAUGAAAGCUAUAUACAUGUACAGAAGUUCAUAGUAUCAAAAUCGUUCAAAUACGAAAAUAUACAUAUGUCCAUAUCAGAAGCUUGGUACUGCACAUCUACUUUGUGUUUAUGAUUUUUCCUGGUCAAUCUUUUAGCCUUUGCUUGUUUGGGAAUGACUAUCUUUUUCUUGGUCACCAUGUUCUUUUUUGCUUUGUCCAUAAUUUUUCUCUUGCUAUAUAUUAAGCAUUGGAAUCGGUAAGAAUUCAAUAUAAAAACUAAUGACUUGUUUGGUAUUCUAUUUGAAUUUUUUUAUAAUUUCUCAAAAUAUUUCUUAAGAAUUUUGCUUGAAAAUAGUUUUAAUUAAGACUCAAAAACUUGUUUGGUAUGCGAUUUAAAAAAUUUAAAUCUUAUAACUUAAACUGGACAAAAAGAUCAAAAAAGACGAGGUCAAGAGAGAAAGAGGAGAGAAGAGGAAAUAAAGUAAGAGAUGAUUUGAGGAAAGAGAAAGAAGUGAGAGGAUCUGAGGAGAUAGAGUGGAAGAGGAGUGAGAGAAAGAAUUGAAAGAAUGAAGAUAGUGGAUUGAAGGAGAGAUGAAAAAGGUAAAAAAAAAAAAAAAAAAAAAAAAAGAGAAGAUGGAGAGACAGAGAGAUUUGGAGUGAGAGGGGAGGAAGGAGAGAAAAGAAAGGAGUGAGUUUUAAGUUUAAAAACUCUGAAAACUUAUUUUUUUUGUGUUUUAGAUAAUAAACUAUAUUUUUGAGUUAGUCUUGAGUUCAGUUUUGAAAAUAGUCCUACCAAACAAGUUUUUAAGGCCUAAUACUUGAAAAUUGUUUUUGAGUUUAAAAAGCUAUAUUCAAGUAGAGUAUCAAACAAACUCUAAAUUUUUCAAUCGAUUUAACCAAUGAAUUGAUGGAGGAGCGAAAAAGAGAAACAAAAAAUAGGGCCAUUAUUCAAUUAUAUGGAGAAUUACUUGAUAUGUACAAAAGGUUUGAAAAUUAAACUAACAUUAAAAAAAAAAAAAAAAAAAAAAAAAAAAAGAUGAGAUGGAAUGGAAAUCACAUACCAACAUCAAGCUUAAAUUUGUAGUGCUCAUUUGUAGUGCUAUCUACAAUUAGUCUUAUCAGGAUCUUCUACAUUGGUUGAUGUAUCGGUGUUUUCCUUAGCUGCAUGUACAUUGUAGACUUGGGUAGAUGAGAAGCAGAAGAAAAUAAAAAUAUAAGUUAAAGUUACAACUUAACUAUCUAUGUUGAUUCAUGUCCAACACAUAAUAAGAAUAGCAAAUCAUUUUCCAUCUCGUGCACUGGUUUGUCAUUGUCACUCGAAUUCACAAAUUCUUUUACUCUGAAUUUCUUAGUUAUGACCAGGGAAAGAAUGUUUAAGCAAAAAUAUGUUUCUAUGUUUUCCCACUAAACUACAUGUUAAACCAAAUCCAAACGUAACAAAAAAAAAACAAAAAAACAAAAAAAAACAAAAUACCUUCGUCAAACCUCUUGGGCUUCAAGUCCACCGACUCCACCCCAAUACUCAUUGGUGCCCCAAACAUUCUUGCACCUUCAGUAGCCUAGAUCAUGCAUGUAUCAGUAUUCAGAAAAGAAAAUAAAUGCAAUUUAUUAGAACAAAGAAUUUGGGAUCAACAAAGUUUGUCCAAACUUACAGCGAGGCUAAUAAACAGCAACCAAGGAUAAUUUUUUGUUUUGCUACAUUGAGAGGGGCGCUUAAACCUAAUAUUAAAAAACAAAAUAUUUAGUAUAGUGCAAACGAUUCAAUAUGUAGUAUCAAUUUAGGAUGCAUAUUCAACGCUUUAAAGCAUUGAGCAGGACACCAAACUUGUUGGUAUGGCUCAACUGAGGAUGCAAACUUUGUCCAACUGAGCAAGGGGCUUGAUUUUGGAAAGACGGCCAGAAUGAACAACAAUGUAUUCACUCGAAGUAAAUGUAAGAUCCCACAUCGCCCAGGGCUAAGGAUCUUGUAAACCUUAUAUGUAUAUCUCAUCUCUAUCUAGCACGAGACUUUUUAGGAGCUCAACGGCUUCAGGUUCUAUCGGAACUCCGAAGUUAAGCGAGUUCACACAAGAGGAAUCCCAUGAUGGUGACUCACUGGGAAGUUCUCGUGUGAGUUACCAGAAACAAAACCGUGAUGGCAUGGUCGGGGCCCAAAGAUGACAAUAUAGUGCUAUGGCGGAGUCGAGCCCGGGAUGUGGGGACCUGGACCGAGAUGUGACAAUUUGGUAUUUUAGUGUGAUAAACUGAGGUAUAUUUGACCUUUACCCUUAUUUCCAUGGCCUUAGGUGGAGCAACCUUCUCCAUCACCAACGGCUUCCUUGUCUCCCAAAUUGAGGAGUAUUAAAUCCCUAUCCUUAAAUAUCCUUCGAAAGACAUGCAAAAUGAAGAACAAUGGACCUAAGGGCAAAGAAGCUGAUUAGUGUUCAUAAAAAAAAAUAUUUAGUUUUAAUUACCUUGUAUUUGAGAAGAGGUUCAUAACUCUCUUCAAUUUCUUUUGGUUUUGGUUUGGCUUCAGGCCUAGCCUCCAUUGUUGCCAUUGACAGAAGACAGGCUCUUAGGAAUGGAAGUGGACAUGAAUGAAGCUUGAUAUAAUCUAAUUAUGAAAACAUAUACUAGUCAAAGAUAAAAUUUAAGAUGCAUGGACGAACUUAUCCAAUGAAAUUAUCUAAAUAUGUUGAGAAGAAUAUCAUUUUUUACAUAUUUUCUCGACAACCAAACAACAUAUUUUGUCACCGAUGCUCAGACGGAAACAAUUCGCUGGAAAUUGAAGACCGAAACCCUAAAACCUUAACACUUAAGAUCGAUUCGAUUAAAUGUGAGAGAAUUUGUAGAAUUUUAUAUGUUAGCUUGAUGGUUUGGGUUUGUUUUCUUAUUUUAAGCAAAGAAAACUUCAAUCAAAUGCCAAAUAAAAACUCCAGUACAUCACCUGGGGUGUGUCAAGAUGACAUUGCAGUCCAAUUGUUGGCCGACAACCAAGAUUUCUUCAUGGGUUUUCCGUCCAGAUGGGUUUGUAGUGCGGCUGUGGUUGAGAUUGGUUGACGAUGAAGCGGUCAGCGAGAGAGAAACAACGAUUCUGAGAGAAAUUGCGAAAAUGGAUUUAUUGGUUUGAGGUUGUUUGCGAUGAUUAUGAGCGACUAAGGAGAUAAAGCGGCAUGAAGCGGUGAGAAAUAGUGAGAAAGGGGAGUAGGUAGGAAGUGUCAAUGGAACGGGAUCCCACGUGUGUAGGAAUGCUGUUGCACCUAACAACAUGACAAAAUGGCAAAGUUGAAAAAACCGAAAAAACCGCCCGCCGGGGGGGGGGAGGGGAGGGGGGUAAAAUAAAAAAUCCAUUGUAGCUCUACAGUGAUUUCCCCAACAGUUUUAGUAUAUACUAGCAACGGUGUCCAUGCGAUGCUACGAGUUUUAAAAUUGUAUAAAAUAUGUAGAAAGUUCUAAAUACAUACAAUAUGCAAUACUAUUUAUAUGUAGGAAUCUAUUUACAACCAUAUGGAUUGGUGGUUCUAUUGCCAUUGUUCUAAUAUUUGCAUCUUUUACAAAUUGAACUCCUAACUGUCCUUUAACCGUACAAAUAUUUUUUGUAUGUAAUUUUGCUUACAUACAAAAAAUAAUAUUUGAUGUGUAUAUACAUACCAUUUACAGGCAAAAGUUUGAUAGAUAGUCCCUAUUUAUAUCCUCAUGAAAUAUGCAGAUAAUCAACCAAUUUUUCCCAAUCAUAACCAAACUGUGUUGUUGCAGUUUACUUUAAGUCGUCAAUGGAAUGAAAUACUUGAAGUCGAUGAUAAACGAAUGUAGAAAUCUUCAAGCCCUAAAUAGAGUGGCCCUGCUUUUUGCAACAAAACAAUACUUUUAUUACAUAAAAUUACAGGAAAAACUUUUAAAACUGGAAAUAAAAGUAAGUCAAAUGAUUAGGGUACAAGAAUUUUCCUUGACCAUACAUACACAAAUAAAAUUUAAAUUUAAAAAAAAAGAAAAUAAAAGGAAAUAAAAAAGAGGCAAUCUCAAAUACACAAAGAUUGAAAAUUUAUUAAACAAUUUAUUAAGCAUAUAUAGGUUAACCAAACAGAUAAUCUUAUUCAAUCACACCAUUUUAAUUUAUCAAAUUGAUUAUUUAAUACUGUCAUGCUAAAAAAUUGUUCUGACAAUACCCUCUCAUCCCAGUACGAUAAACCAAAAAUUCUUCAAUCUCUUGCAUGUCAUUUCAGUUCUUAAAACCACCGAAAGAAAAAAUUAAAGUUUCUUUCUUACCGAAAUCCACCAAUUUGAAUCAAAUCCACCUAAGAAGCAUACAUGUUCUUUCCUUGAAUUAUACAUAUUUGAGAAGAAUCAAAUAAAGACUCAAAUUCAAAAUCCUUUCUCCCCUUAAACAAAAUUCUAUACAUGCAUCUAAUAAUCUUAAUUUUCCUGGAAGCAAGUUGGAUAAUGUGUAAACGUAGACAUUAUAAUGCUCAGAAAAUAGGCCAUCUUUUACAGCGAUAAACGGUAAGCUUAAGAAAUUAAAUUACCAUUUCACUCGAAGAAGUAUAAAGUUCGAAAAGGGUAAGUAAAUAGACACAAAGAUAUAUAUAUUUGAUGCACAGUCCACCCUGAAAAGCCUAGCAAAUUUUCGUAAUGGGGCUUGAAAAUUGAAGUUUAAAUAGUAAGUUAACAACUUAAAACACUAAUAGGGAUUGUAGCAUAGCUUGUAAUUUCUGCAAUAUAAAUAAUGACAAAAAGGAUUAAAUUCUUGAGAAGCACUUGAAAAAAACAAAAAAUUUAGUGAAUAAAAAGGUCAUUAGCAACCCCCAUGGUUGUUGUUAAGAUACAUAUAUUUACAGAUAUAAACUUUAUCUCACCUCAAAGAGAACGGCAAACAACCACACUCAAUCGCCAGAUGAAAAGAAAUUGAACAAAUUAGGAUUUGGUUGGUAAUAAAUUGAAAUGGGUUGAAUAUUAUAACAAAAUGAUUAAAGAAAACACAUAAUUUAUGUCUUUUGAGGGAAAUCAAAUUACCUAACUAAAAUUCGUUGGAAAUCAAAGGCUUUAACCUCGUAUUGGAAAUCAAAGCAGAAAUAUGUAAAAAAGCGGUGACAUACCUGUGGAACUCUUGAGCAUGGAAAGGCUCUGGUUUCUUGCAAAACAACGGAAAAUGAAAUAAGAAACCCGCCAAAAAACUUGAUAAUAGAUUGGUUAAAAAACACUUUAAAAUACUCUUUGUAACACUUGGUGAUGAUAAACACUAUUUGUUUCCGGAUGAAAUUAAGCAUCCAAAAAAUAAAUAAAUAACAAAUCAACUUUACAUAAAAGUUUAUAUUACCCGUCCCAAAUCAACUGGAGAACUCAUAAUAGAAUUUCUACCUUCCAAUUUAUCAUAACCUUUUCCAUCUCAGAACAUUCAAAAUUUUCAACAGAACAUGGAUUCUAUAAUGUUGGUUAAGAUUAUCUACACUACACACAUGCAGAUUAAGGCAAAUACAUAGCUAAUUACGGAACAAAAAAACCAAAACUUGUGUUUAACAUGCAUAAACAUGCAUAACAUACUUUAAAAGCAAAGAUAUGUAUACAGGUAUAAAUAAAUGACAAAACAGCACCAACCAGCCAGAAAGCGAACAAAAGUAUAAAAUGGAAGUGCAAAAUCAAGCAAACAUUCAAACCAUUAUGCAAUAUUGCCAGAAAUAACUAAAAAUAUUCAUUCAAGUUCAAACUUUUCCACAGUAAAAUACACAUGCAAAAGGUCAAGAGUCGGAGACAGUGGGAGGGAUGGAAGAGAAAGAAGUGAUCUGAGAGAUGAGAAGCGAGAAACGCAGAGGGGCUUCCCCGAUCACAAUUUAUCCCAAUCAACAAACAAAACCCAGAUUUCAAGAAUUAAAAUCAUAAAAAAUUCCAACAAAUAAAAGAGAACCCAGGAACCAAACCCAUCAAUCUUUCCUAAAAUCGAAGAACUCACCAGGAAACCCAUGGUUUUUCUGGGUUUCAAAAUUUUCUUCAAAUCCGAACGGGAUUCGGCUGCGAGAGGGAAGGCUAAGGGCCUGUUUGGUAUCCUACUCAAAAACUUGAAUUGUUCUUAAAACUAUGGUUUCGAAAACUUGUUUGGCAUUGAACUUAAAAAUUAUUUUUGAAUCUAAAAAUUUGAAAACUUGUUUGGUUUAACUCUUGAAAACAGUUUUUUUUUUUUUUUUUUCAAUUAUGUAUUUGUUUUAAGAUAUACAAAACAUAUGAAAUUAAACCUUAAACAUACUAUUUUGAUAUCCAUGUGCUAAUACACCACAUAUAUGCUCGAUAAUCAAAUUAAACUUCAAGUCUUAGAUAAUAAAUAUUACAUUAAAACAUUCUAGAAAACCAAAAAAGAUAAUCUCCACGAUAGAAGACCAACUGCUUUGAUGGAUUAAUAUUAUGAUCAAUCCAGUUUGCCCAUGUCCUCAGAGCUCUUCUAUAGGCCUCAAAUGCAUCAAACUUUGGAUAAAGAUAAUCUCCCUCUUUAUAGUAGCUUUUCCUGUGAGAAAUGACUGUCAUGUUACUCCAGUGUUCCAGUAUCUUUUACAGAAGUAAAAAUGGCCUAAAGAAGAGUUCAGGCACCGCUCAACCAGACUACGUUUCAAUUAGUUGUCAUCAAUAUAAGCCAACCAAGUAAUUUUCAUGGUAAGAAAUGCAAGGACAUCAUAUUACAUUUCAGCAUUAAUAACAAUAGCAAUGUUGCAAAUAAUAACAGCAUUGGCAAAAACAACCGAGCAGGCAAGCGCAACCACCAAUGCAGCAUACACAAUAUAAUUUGGCGACAACCCUACCAUCGAACAUGCAUUGCACACAACAAGAAGAAGAACCAAAAACAAGACGACGCAACCAGCAACCACACAUAAGUUGAAACAACCCGCCUCCAUAUCUUGCAUAUAACCAAGUAAAACUGUGAUGCAUCAAACUUCUUGAGGGAAUAACUACAAUACAUAGAGUAAACCACUGCAGCUUUUGACAACAAAGACAAUGUGAUGUACAAGGGGAAGCACAUCGUACACGAAAUAGCCAUCUCAGCAAACUUCUGGCAAGAGUGACUGAUAAAAUCCCUCAAAGGGAGUACACUGGACUUUGCAAUUAACAACAUCCUAAUGGUUAGUCUCUUUACAAGUGACUGAUCAACUACCAAAUUCGACAAAAGUAGGGCGGAAACUGGGCAGAUUAGUAACAAGGCAAUCGCCAAAAAACCCCACGAAUUGUACCAGAGAAUUCUAACAGUUUCUCUCAAAAUUUCCAGAGCACUCAUCGAAUGAAAUCUGUGAUCGUUACCAGAGAGUUCUAACUUCUUCAACUUUGUCUUCAACUUGAUCGUUACUAGCUUACAUGUAAUUAGUUGGGAAUUUUUGAAGAUUAUAUUAGAGAAAGCAGAAGGUAUGAUUCUCAGAACACAUUACUAGUAAGAGUUAGCUCAGCAAGAUUGUAUAAGUUAGAUAGUCAAUGUCUCUUACUAAUUCAGGGGAAAGGUAAAGGUAGAUAGCAGAGGAUUAAGAACCUGAUAGUAAUCAAUACUGUUUCCAUUAUUCUAGCAUUCGAGAGUUGUCAAUGCAUGGGAACUGAGAGUUAACAGAUGAUGUGGAGAAUGCAUUUAACAAAUUGUGAAAACAUGUAUUUACAGGACUUAAAAAUCUGCAAGUAGCAGUACAGAUACAAGAUUCCAAGUUCAUAAUCAAAUAAGAAAACAAAAUCCAAGAUUCCAAGUUCAUAACCAACAACCAAUCAUCAAGAACAAAACCCAUCAUGCCCAAACCCAAAUACAAACCCCACUAACCUAAUCACCCAAAAUUCACUACUGUAAACACAAAACCCACCAAGAAUUACCCUCAUAAAAAAUGCAUUACCCACCAAAAAACCAUUAAGCCCCACAUUCAAUCAAGAACCCAAAAACUUCAGAUCCCUCGAGAACUUGAACAAACCCCCCAAAACCAAGAAAAACACAGAAAAGCUGAGAGAGAGGAGCAGAGAAAAAUCUUACCAGAUCGUCCUUGAAGGUUAGGUAUUUCUAGGUUUGGGGUUUUUCAAAUCUGAAAGACUGAGUGCGUGUUCUUCCUCAAUGCAACAUUUGAGAGAGAGAGUGAUGGAAGCUACCAAAGGACAGAGCAGGAAAGAAAAAAACAGUAUGACUGAAAUAUCCCAAAUCGGAGAAAACCCACAUCACAACAAAUUCAGUUCACAAAUCAAUCCUCAUGGGCAUAUUAGAACAUAAACAGAAGAGUGUUCAGAUUAAUUACCAAGCUAUGAGCUCGAGCUCAAUUAGGUUAAUAUAUACACACAGUACACAAAUGAAUCAUACCAAUUAUAUAGAUAAACUCAAUUUCUCACAACCCAACAAACAAAACACAUAAAUCAACUUUCCCAUCAUUUCCUCCAUUUUCCAAGGAACCAAACAAAAUAGUAAGAGACAGACCCAUUACCUUGAUCGUUCUGCAAUGAAGAGAAUGGCCCAGUUUUGUCCCCAAUCAAGCACUCAGAGAUUCGAGGCUUAAAGCUAUUCACCGGAACCUUCACCCUAUUGGCCGGAAUCUCUUGGUCGUUCGUCGUUGGUGAGGCGCAACGCGUGGUCUGUGCAACGCAGGUCUCAGACCUCCAUCAUGAGUCGCGACGCAGGGAUAUGAAUUCGUGAAAACAAAAACCCUAAAACCUGACUGUUUGGAUCAAAACUUGAAUUUUGGGCUCAGGAAAGGGGCUGGCCCAAAGGGAUGCCUAAGGGAGAGUCGGCCUAAGCCCAGCCAAAGCCCAGAAAGCAGAAAAAGGGGCUUUUCUAACUUGGUGCAGCUCAUGAAGACCACUUGCUCACCUACCCAAAAGCCAAGUGGUAUAGACUGACCAGCUAUAUAGCCCAUAAAGUACUUUAUAAUGGCAGAACAAGUAAUAUAGCUGAUGAGUCACUACCUCUCAAGUUGCAUUCGGGCAAGGCUACUGCUACAAGAGGCCAAGCUGAGUUGUCUAUAAAAGAAGAAAGAGAAAUCAGGAUUAAGGACACUCAAACAAACAAACAAAUGCAAGCACAAACUCUGCUCAAAGCCAGAUUUGCCUUCAGAUCGAAGCUGUAGUCAGCCCCAGCCUUUAUCCCUCUCGGGAUAAGCCUUCACUCAAACCCUUGUAAUAGCUCUGCUACCCUGUUCAACCUUGCUGUAGUAUCGAUUUCUCUUUAAAACUCCUCUCCUUACCUCUCCCUAAAAAUCUCUCAGACCCUUAAUAAGCCACAAAGAUAGGAACCUGCAAGACGACCAGGCUUGCCCGACAAGGUUAAACCUUGCCCGACCUUCUUUGUGUUUUUGUCUUUUCAUUCAUUAGCCUAGCAAUAUGUUGUAUACUUCCAGUUAUAUUCCAGUUAUUUCUAGCAAGAUGACUAUUAAAAGGCUUUCUUAGUACUCGGAUCCGAUUUGAAUAUAUAUUCAUUGUUCAAACCAGAUCUAAGUUCUAAGCCCUCGGGCAUGUAAAUUUGAUCAGUUAAAAGUCCUUGGCCUCAAGGCAUAAAAAAGAACCUUAUGUGGACUUAACCCAUCCACGACAAUCCUUGAUAAACGAGAAGUCCGAAGUUACUUGAGGCGCAAGUAAUCGACCUACCUCUUAGUCUUAUGUCUAUUAUAUUAUGAUUAUCAUAGAACGCGUAAGCAUGGAAUGGAUUCUGAUGGGAAGCCUCAAGGCCUACACCUAAGGCCCCACGAAGGCACCUAUUUGGAUUCAUCCCGUUCUGCGGUCUAGAACGUUUGAGUAUAAGAACGAACUCUGAUGGGAAGCCUCAAGGCCUACAUCUAAGGCCCUACAAAGGCACCUAUUUGGGUUCAUUCUACCUCUUGGACUCGGGUAAUCAGAAGUAUAAUAGUUAUAAAGACUCUUGCACUUACGAGCACAAAUAUGAUGUGUUCGAGCACUGGUUUAGUUAUUGAUAGGAAGCCUCAAGGCCUACACCUAAGGCCCCACAAAGGCACCUAUCAUAACUAACACGGUUUCUCGGGUAUAUACAUAUAUACAACUAAAACUCGACAUCCAUUUCACAUCUGCCAUGCUAAAGAUGGCAGUGGCACGCCUGAGUACUUAAAAGUUAACCUUGAUUGUAAGCCUCAAGGCCUACACUUAAGGCCCCACAAAGGCACCUCUCAAAGUUAACUCUGUCCUUCUCUUUCAGCCUUGCCUGACAAGCCUUGCCCGACGAUGCCCGACAAAAAAGCAGAAGCCCGACAGCGGCCUUCAACCGGCGCCAACCUCCUGGGGAGCUGUGUGCUCGUCGGCCAGGAAACGUCCCCGACAGAAAUUCCUGACGUAAACAUAAUUUUGGCACGCCCGGUGGGACAAUACACUUUGUGAUCUUGCCCAACAGAGGGUUUCUCUCACCCUUUUCUACUACGAAUGGCAGAUCAAUCAGGAGAUCCUUCUUCCCCAUCAGGACAAGUGGUCUUAGAAAGCCCAACUUCAUCUGAGAGAUCGAAAGGGAAGGGAACUAGUGAACUACAAGCUACUAUGAUCCAAGUACUAAAAAGCAUGGAAAGAAUCUCCUUGGAAACCAAGGGAUAAGUGAGUAGGCUAUGUACAUUAACAGGGAAUCUACAGAGAAGACUUGAUCUGGAGUUUUCUACUCCAAAAUGGGCUCAGGAAAGUAGGAUGAGCCAUGUCACCAUGAGGAGUGAACCAAUCAUUCAACCAAUCAUUCCCUUAUUCCCACCUUUAGAAGAAGAAAAGGUUAAGGGAAAGAAUAAAGUGGUUCCUGAAGGGAGUCAACCUGUGAUAGAGCUAGUUCUGGAAAAAAGAGCCUCCCAGCUUCCCAUUAUUAUCAUUUAAUAAUAGGAGGCAGAGCGAGCAAGAGAGAACGAAGUAUGGAAUGCCUGUAAUGAUAGGGGAGACUAGCAGAAAGGAAGGCACCACUACUUCAGAUAAACCUCUACCUUACCGGCCAUCCCGUUGGCUAAUAAGGGAGGGGGGACUAACUGGAGGAAGCCCGAACCAAGGAGAGAAGCCGGUACGGGCAAUGAUCGGAGCCCAAAGAUCGACACUGCUCUCAUCGGUCAUGAUGAUAAUUCAGCUACUCAGCAGCUGAGGGAAGAAUUGGCUGAGCUAAGAAGGAUAGUAGCUCAAAAUGCUCAACCGCGGGCCCGCCUAGUGUUCAGGGUCACUUACCAAAAGCCUUAUCCUGAAUAUAUUGAUGAGCUAAAUCCAUUCCCUCUUAACUUCAAGAUGCCUGCAUUCCCAACGUUCACAGGUAAAGACAGUAGCGUGUCCUCCAGAGACCACAUUUUCAAAUUCUCCAAUCAUUGUGUGGCAUAUGAGGGCAACCCAAAUUAUAAAUUGAGGUUGUUUGGGAAUUCAUUGGCUGGUUUAGCAUCUCAGUGGUAUUCGCUAUUACCCCCUAACUCUAUUGCCAACUGGGGGCAAAUGGAAAUGGCUUUCCACGAACAGUUUUAUAGAAUUGAGCCAGAAUUGACUAUCAAUGACCUUGUUGAAGUCAAACAAUACGAUCAUGAAUCUACUGAGGACUUCAUGAUGAGGUUCAGGAAAACAAGGAUGAGAUGCCAAUUCUCCGUCAACCAAGGGCAGCUCAUAUCAAUUGCUCAGAGGGAUGAAGCUACUAUUGCUUGUUUCUUAGCAUUCCAAGAGAUGAGAUUAUGGCCUAAAAACACAAUAACCACUGGUGAAUCUUCUGUCCAUAGGAAAACCAGCCCAAUCUGCAUCAGACCAAGCUGUGAGGCAUUGAGUGCCCGUAGUGAACCAAAUACUAGAAUUAAUAGUGCCCUUGAGAUAUCUCAAAAUACGCUUGACUGCCUGAAGAUGAAUAGUUCUUAGAGAAUGCAUAUGUUGACAAACUUGAUUGACAGCAAAGGCUAAAUCAGGCCUUGUCCAUGUGAGAUAAUGUAAAGCACUAACUGUGGACCGAUAAGAAGUAGGAUCAGAUAAGAGAGUGCCUGAGUGAUCAAGUUUGGAGGUAGACACAUGUGUUGCACAAGGUUUAACUCCAAGCAUGUCUUUUUCUUGAGUAAAUCUAAAGCAUACUUAGAUUAGUGCAUAAACAUACCUUUGGAUGACCUUUGAACUUCAAUGCCUAAGAAAUAAUGAAUAUCUCCCAGAUCCUUAACAUGAAACAUUGUUUGAAGCUUGGAGAUGAUGGAUUGACACUUAGUGGUUGAACUUCCAGUGAUGAUUAUAUCAUGAACAUAGACCAAGAUGAAAGUAAUGAAAGUAUCUCUUUUGAUAAAGAGACUUAUAUCAACGUAGGAGAAACUGAAACCCAAAGAGACAAUAACAUUGUAGAAGGCUUCAUACCAAGCUUGAGGAGCUUUUUUAAGACCAUAGAGUGAUUUCUUAAGCUUGCAAACAUGAUGAGGUUUGGAAGGAUCCACAAAAUCAAGAGGCUGGAUCAUGUACACAUCUUCCUUCAAAUGACCAUGCAGAAAAGCAUUACUUACAUCCAAUUGAUGUACAAACCAAUUAUAGUUGACUGCAAUAGAUAGUAGAAUCCUGAUAGUAGUAGGUUUUGCAACAAGACUAAAAGUUUUUGAGAAAUCCAAACCUUCAUGUUGAUGAAACCCUUUGGCAACAAGUCUUGCCUUGUACCUUUCAAUGGUACCAUCUGGUUUGUGUUUAACUUUGAAAACCCAUUUGCAACCUACAAGGUUGUAAUUGGAGUUGUGUGGAACCAAAUCCCAAGUUCCAGUCGAUUGCAAAGCUUGAAAUUCAAAUUGCAUAGCUUCAAUCCAGUGAGCAUGCUUGGAGAAAUGUAGAUGGAGUAGAGGGUAACUUUGUGAGAUGAUCAACAGUGGAUGGAAAGUGAUGUUUAGUUAGUAAACACCUUGGGUUUAUGAAUGCCUGCCUUUGCUUUUGUAACCAUUGGAUGAGUAUUGACAAGAGCUAGAGGCUGUGAAGAAGAUGGUUGAGAAAUAGAUAAGGUAGAUAAGAUAGGAUGAGAGGACUCUGUGUUAGGAUAAGUUGUUGAUGAGGAACUCGAUGUCUCUAAGGGAGUUGCAGAUGUAGGGGGCUUUGUAGGAUACAACACAAGCAGUGGAAGAGACAUAGGAAGCUUUGUAAUGAUUUAUUAGAAAUUCAUCCCCUGAAUCAGAUCUUAUACAUUGAACUUUGAGCUCAAGUAAAGUUUGAACCUUUAAGAUAAAAGUCUUGAGAGUGGAUAAGACAUCAGACUUGAAGUAUAGAGGAUAGAGCCAUUUAUAUUUAGUAAAGUCAUCCAUUAUUAUUAUGUGAAACUUGUAUCCAGUACAUGAGUAUGUGGGAGAGGGACCCCAUACAUCAGUGUGAAGUAAUGUACAAGGUACAUCGAUAAAUGGUAGUCUAGAAGCUUUGCCUAAAUGACAAGCUGUGCACAUAGACAAUUUAUUAACAGAACCAAUUACAGGCAGAUGAUUUUUAUUCACCACAGAACUUAAAGUGCCACUAGAAGGAUGUCCAAGGCAUUGAUGCCAAAUCUGGAAAUCAGCCUUAGCAAUCAUCAGAGUAGUUGGUGAGAUUGCAACCCUAGAAACACCAUUUGAAGCAUUCCAGUAGAAAGGGUAUAACCCUCUUUCACUAGGGCCUUGGAAAAAUAUCUUCCUAGUUUUUAGGUCCUUGACAUAGAAUCCAAAAGGAUCAAAUGUCAAAGAACACUAAUUGUCAUAUACAAACUUGUAAACAGAGAGCAAAUUAUGAGAUUCUUGAGGAAGUAAAAGCACAUCAUUCAAUCUAAAAGUAGCAUUAUUUGUGCGAAUGAGAACAUAUCCAAUAUGAGAAAUGCACAGACCUUUUCCAUCACCAACAAACAGUUGAUCAUUGCCAGAGUAUGGAAUUGCAGAAUUGAGUGCAGAAGGGUCAGGUGUGACAUGUUGAGAUGCACCACUAUCAGUAAGCUAAUAGCUAAGAGGGGCAGAGGCAUUCAUAGCAGACAUUGCAGUAGGAGUUUGUGCAUUCGAGUUCGAGGAAAAUUGAGAGAAACGAUUGCAUGUAGGAGCCUAGUGACCAUAUUGAAGACAUAACUGACAUUGAACAAAGUGCCCAAAGGAGUUGGAUUGACCGAAUGUUUAAUGAGAAGGGCCAGCACCAAGAAUACCACUAGAGUUGUUGUGAUUCCAGUUGUUAGGUACGUUUCCCCUAAAAUUACGAUUCUGAUUGUACCAAUGUCGAUUUGGAAAACGACCAUGAGAAUUACCUCUGUUCAACUGAGCACCAAAGGUGUUAAAUUGUGCCACAUAAACAUGAAAUGGUGCAGCGGAGGAGGAUGAAGCUGUGGUUUUGCGUUUUUGGAGUAAGAUCUCUUUGCUCAAUAAAAGGCCAUGAAGUUCAUCGACCGUUACAGACUCAUUGUGAGUCUCAAUAGAGUUAACAAAUGACUCAUAGUCAUCAGAAAGACCAGAUAAAAUGCAUGAAACGAGGUCAGAUUCAGAAAUUGGUUCACCAGCAGUAGCAAGUUUAUCAUAGAUAUCUUUAAUUGAAUUAAGAUAAUUAGUCAUGGAAGAGUCACAUUUCUGAAUCGUUUGGAUCUUUGAUCGAAGGCUGUGAACAUAUGUGCAUGAAGCACCAGAGAACCGCCGCUCAAGAGACUGCCAAAAGGAGCGAGAGUCUUUCAUUCAAAUAGUCAAAGGAAGAAGAUCUUUGGAAAGUGUUGAGUUAAUCCAAAUCAUCAGAAUUUGAUCACGCUCACACCAGGUCUCAUAGAGAGGAUUGAGAACACAAGAUCCAGAGGAAUUGAGAACAAAUUUAGGAGGGCAGAGAUCCUCACCAUUGAUGAGGCCAAGAAGCUUGAAAUGCUUCAAUACAGGAAUGAAGAGACAGUGCCAAGUGAUGUAGUUCUGACACUUGAGCUUCGUUGGAAUCAUUCCAGCAACAUUUGCAAUGGAAAUUGAUCCAAUUAACAUGAUCGAAGGAUUAGAGAUCUCGCUGGGAGGGAGAUUCACUGGGGAAUUAAGUGAAGAAAGAGAAUUGGAGGAGUUCGCAGCAGUUGCCAUAACCUAAUUUGGUGAAUUGAGGACGAAAAGAAAGAAAUCCAAGAUGCAGCGACCUGUGUGGGAGAUAGGAAAAUUCAAGAAACGCAAGAAAGUUUCAAGAAAGAGAGGGAAGCGUGAUAGAAUUAAAAGAACACUACAAAGUAGCACACAAAUGUCCUAUUGAUUUUCCUUAUUAACACUAAAAUUUGUCAAUUGUAGCAUAUGAAAAUAAGGGUCAUUCCUGCAAAAGAUUGUUUUAUCUAAUUACUUAAAAUGUCACAAAAACUGGUUGCUGUCCCUACUGACCAGCCACCGAAAAAUAAUUAUUAGACCGACUUACACUUAUCUAAAGUCUACAAAAUUUUAUAUGAACACACUAGACACACAAAGCUACACUCACACAAAUCUUUAGGAGUUUUGGAGUUGAUUUUCUAUUUAAAUUAAAUUGAACAAAAACAGGAAAUAAAUAGAUUUUAAGUAGUUCACAAAUUAAGAACAACGAGUUAGGGGAAUUGCUAUCCACCACCAAAUAAUCAUGCAAACAUGUUAUGUUUCAUUCAAAUUCCUUUUAUUUCCGGAUGAAGAUGCUCAAGUUGGCUCAAUGUUAGAACUCAACCUAUUACUCUUUCUUACGUAGUAUGUUAAGAGAAUGGCAUUUUCAACUUAACUUAGUCCCUAGCAUGCAAUCUAGAAUGGCGUGUUCAUAGAUUUAACAAGUAGAAAUCAUUAAGAACGAAAAGAGUUUGAGUCAUCACAAGGCAUCGUAAGUACUGACAUUGUUUUACUUAUCUUAGAAAUUAGUUCACAUGUUAAUCGCAAUUAACAAGUACUAAUCUAGAACAUAUGUAGGUCCUCAUUCAACAAGGGCAGGCACACACAUAUUCAUAGUGUUAGAAUUCUAGAUAUGCUUACUACGUAUGCAUCCAUAGAAAACAAAUAAGGAAUUCAUCAAUGAGACAAGUAGUGAACCAAUUUUCAUCCAUUCAUAAAAGUAAUUCAAAUGAAAUGUCAUAACAAACUUGCAAUCAUAUUCGGGGCUUCAAAACAACCCCUAACUUCUAAAAAUUUAGUUACACAAAGUUCUCAAAUUAAACCAAAAGAAAGACAUGAGUUUGAGAAGAUAAAACCAAAAGAAAUCGACCGAGGCAUCCUCUUCUCUUCCUUCCUUCCCCAAUGUUGCUUUUAAACCAAUUCUUGCUGCAUCAUUUUCUUCUCCUUAACUCACCCACUAACAGCCAUUUAGUGAUGACAAUAAGUGAGAGGAAAUGUGGUAAAACAAUUGUAACACUUUAGGUAGCCUUUAUGCCAAUUACUCCCUCUUAAUCCUCAUUUUUAAUUCCAUUUCCUCUGAUAUUUGAAUAGGUGUCAGCUGACUUGUUCUUGGCUGCAUCAGUUUUGGCUGCUAGAUUUAUUGGGUUUAUUGCUUCCAUUGCAGUUACAAACUGCUCAGCCUCUUGGUAACCUUUCAGUGUUAAAACGGCCAUAACUUCUUCUAGAAAAAUGAUAUUAGCAAUCCGUGAAAUGCUCCAGAAAAUAGACAUCCGUAGCUUUCCAAGCAUAUAAGGUUCAUUCUCUAAUUCAUUUUGAACUGUUUGCAACUUGCUUCCAAAAUCAGCUGAUCUGCACAGGCAGUUUUGACGAAUUUGUUACUAAAAAUCUUACUUGUGCUAUUUUUCUUUUAUUUGCUUGACAAAUCCCACAAAACACAAAAACAAAGUAAAUAGCUCAAAAAUAUAAGGAACUAAAUAAGAAAAGAGAAGUAAAUUUGAUGUAAAAUAUAUAUAAAUAUGAGCUUAUCAAAGCAGAGGAUCGAAGUCGGUUAGACAAUGGUGAUGAUACCAUGUAGAAACCGAGAAUCUAGAGAGAUUUCAGUUAUAGAGAGAGAGAGAGAGAGAUAGAGAGAGAGUAAAAUAAGAUUGUGAUUUCAUUAACAUCAACAGAUCAUUACACAAGGUAUUUAUACAUAAAUAUCAUAUCUCAGCCAUAUGUGCCAUCUAAGCAUAAUGUACAACUAAUCACUAACCAUGCUAAGCUUAAUAGCUAAGCAAACAUCUAAUCUGAUACAUUGUUGCUGUGAGAGGUUGUACUCUCAACUUUAUGUAUAUAUGGAUACAGAAAAUUACAAUUACGAAAGAAGAAAGUAAUUAACACAAAAGUCCCUUGCACUCCAUAAUUACUACUUGGGUUCAAUUUUCGCUGAAACAGCGCAUCCACCGCUGUAAUCAAAGGAGCCGGUGCUGUCAUUGAAUUCCUUUUUCGGCAAGCCAACGUUGUAGGGAUGUUUCGGAGCACCUUUUGACGCUGCAAACUCCGUGGCUGAUGAAGAUGCUGAUGUUGAGUUUGUGUUCAUCCCAUCGUUCUGCAGAAUGGUUUCGAUGGCCCUCACAACUUCACUCAUCGUGGGACGAUCUGCAGCUGAUUCUUCGACGCAUUGCAUGGCUAGCUCCAAGAACCUCCCAAACCCGAUAAGAGUUCCUGAGUUUCGAAUGUUUCGAUCUAUUAACUCCCUCAAACCGUAAUGCUCUUCGUCAUUCUUGUUCAUCACCAAUCGUACCUCGCGGACAAUGUAUUUUCCCUUUUCAAUUGGCUGCCUAGCAGUUAUCAGUUCAAGCAUAACGACUCCAAAGCUGUAUACAUCGCUCUUCUCGGUCAAUUGUUGAGUCAUGUAAUACUCAGGAUCCAGAUAGCCCUGAAAGUGUAGACAGUAACUUACAAUACAAGAAAUGUUGAAACUGGAAAACACGAUUUUCCGGCUUAGUGCUUACCAUAGAAGAUCACAUUUUAGGUAGUUACAAAUGAUAACGUUCGAAAUGCUUAAUUGCAAACUUACUAGUGUUCCUUUGACAUGAGUCGAGACAUGUUCUUCUCCGCUGUCAUUGACCAGCAUCGACAGGCCAAAAUCUGCAACCUUCGCUGUUAAAUGUUCAUCUAAUAGAAUAUUGGUGGACUUCACAUCUCUGUGAAUUAUAGGAGGAUUUGCAAGUUCAUGUAGGUAAGCCAGUCCUCUUGCCGAGCCAAGAGUGAUUUGGAGUCUCCUCUUCCAAUUGAGAUGAAUACCAGAUCUCCC
rnacentral:lncRNA from 1 species